ensembl:sense_intronic
UGAACUCUUGGGAGAAGGUUGUUUUAUUCUUUAAUUUAGAAAAUAAUUGUUGUAAAGACAAAAGGUAGAGGAUUUGUAUGGAGUAAUAUCAUUUAUUUUUUUAAUAGAUGUCCCAAACUAUUAGUUUAUAUUGUCAUGCCUAUACUCUCAAGAAAAUAAAAGGAAUCAGAAGAGGGUAGACAUUUCCUGAAAGUACAGUUGUUAUCUGGCUAUCAGACAGUUUGUCUUUGGCUCAAUUCACUAGUAAUUUUUAUGUUUGCUUAAGAAAAUCUUAUGACAUCACUUUGGGAAAAUAGAUAAUAUUUUGAUCCUCUGUGUUUUAGAGGUUGAAAUGGUUUUUUAUUGUUGACAAAAAUUGAUUGAAAAUGCAAAUACUGCAUGCAUCUACAGAUAGAUACUCAUCAUACACAGAAGGCCUCCUUACAGGGACAGUAAUGAAAGGGGGCUGCAGAUCUGCAGGUUAGACCUGCAAUUUACUUUGGCUUUACAAACAUGUCUUUCUAAGUGAAAUAAUAGUGAAGACCUACAAACUUAUAAUUUCUAUAGCAUCAGAAGUUGAAUUGUUGCUUUUCUAUAGUAACUCACUUUCUGUUUCAGAGUUAGUUUGUCAUUAAGAACUGUGACACAAACAUAAUUGGCUUUAAACUUGCCUUUGUUCAUAAACUUUGAGUUAUUUUUAUAUAGUAAGGAAUAAAAUUUAAUGUAAAAUUGAGUGUUCAAUUCUCUCAUAGCCUUCAAUCUAGUGGUUUCACUUUUUAAAAAAUGUAGCUCAAAAGAAUAUUGGCAAUUGUUAUUUCAGUGUGUUUUAAUGUUGGAAUUAAGUCAAAAUUAGUGGUCUGAUUUACAAAUAGAAUUAUCAGAUUAUCAGAGUGAGUGAUAAUAUGUAGUAUCAGUUAUACACUUAAAAUGAAGUUAACAGUCCAAAUUCCCAUUAUGCACAUAAAAUCCCAUUGUGUAUCUUUGCAAAAUUUUUGUCUCUCAUUGAGCUGUGACUAAGACAGCACUGAACAUGGGUGUAUAAAUACUCUAUAGUAUGAUGUAGUAUACCAGAGGGGGUAUAGCCAGCUAGUACAGCAGUUCUGCUUUAUUUAUUUAUUUUACUGUACUGUGAGGCACCACCUGUGAAUGGUUAGUUUUAUUUACCCAUUUGACACACUCUGGAAUCACCUGGAGACUUCACUGAGAGGAAGUCUCACUGAAGAGUGGUCUCUAAGGUUGGCCUGUAGACUUGUCUUUGGAAGAUUGUCUCGACAUGCCAUGACCUAUUGUAACAGUGGGCAGUGACCUUCCCUGGGUCUGAGUCCUGGAUUGUACAGAAGAGGAGGACGUAAGCUGCACACAAGCAUGCACGCCUUAAUUUGUUGUACUCGGGUCUUGACCAUGAUAUAAGUGCCUGCUUCAGGUUCCUGCUGCCUUGACUUCCCACUGUGGUGGACUAUAACAUGGAAUUAUGAGCUCUAAAAUAAUCCUUCCUAAAUUGUAUUUGUUAGGGGGUUGGAUUACAGCAACAGGAAAUGAAACUAAGACACCUCCAUACUGAUUUCCAUAGUAGUUUUGCUGGUUUAGACUCCCACCAGCAGUGCUAAGGGCUCUUCUCCACAUCCUCAUUAUUAUUUUUUUCUUUUCUUUUCCUUCCUUCUUUCCCUCUCCCUCCCCCUUCUCCUCCUCCUCCUCCUUCUGUUUGUUUUUUUGAUAUUGCCAUUUAUUUACACUUUGCCCUUUCCCUUCUUCCCUCCAGACCCUCUCAAAUACCCCUCCCAAUUCUUCAAAAUCAUGGCCUUUUUAAAAAAAAAAAAUCAAUUGUUAAUUGUAUACACAUGUAUUUGUGUGUGUGUAUGUAUGUAUGCGUGUGUGUGUGUGUAUAUAUAUAUAUAUAUAUACAUAUAUAUGAACGAUAUAUAUCCCUAAAUAUAGCUGUGCAGUGUGACUUAUAUGUGUGUUUUCAGGUCUGACUAUUUGGCAUUGGAUAACAAGUUGGUGUGCUCUUCUCUGGGGAGGACCACCUCUGGUGCUCCCCACUUUAUUCAGUUGCCUUUAGUUCUUGGUAUAGGGUUGAGGCCUCUCAGGUGGUACCACUCUAGUUGAGUGGAUCUUAAGUCCAAUUGGAGAGCAUUUAGUUGUGACCAGGGUGUUCAGGCCACUUCUGCACCCAUAGUGUUACUGUGCCAUGCUGGUUUAUGUUUUCUUAAUAUUCAGGCAAGGGUGAAAUAAAACUCCAAAGUGGUUUCAAUUUGCUUUUCCUUAAUGGCUAAAGAUAUUGAACAUUCUUUAAAAUAACAUUUGGCCAUUUGUGUUUUUUCUUUGGAGAUGUGUCUGUUCAUUUUAUGAGCCCAUUUAUCAAUUAAUAGUUUUAUGGUUUGGGUAUUUAAGUUUUGUAGUUCUUUAUAUAUGGUAGUUAUCAUAGCACCUUUAAUCCCAGUAUUCAGGAGACAAAAGCAUGUAGAUCUCUAAGAUCAAGGUCAGUCACAGAGUAAGUUCUACUCAACCAAGCUUAGGCAGUAAAGGGAACCACUGAAAACAGAAAGCUGCUGAAGAUGGAAUAGAACAAGGGACCCACAAGCAGCAGAACUCAGCAUCUUAAGUCAUGGAGCUCAAGAGUCUUUGGAGUCAAGAGUAGAGGAGUUACUGGAACAAUUGAUCUUGGUUAGCUGGAGCUAAGAAAUUUGUGGUGAUUUAAAAGACCAGCAUCACUGAGAUGACAUCUUCUGGGAAGUAUUUUCUGAGCGCACAAAGAAGCUGUGUUGCAGAGGUAGACAUUGUGCUGGCAGCUGGACUUGGUAAUAUGUUAAGAAUCACCCAGGUGGCACUGGUUUUGAAGGCAUGAAGGGGUCAUGAAGAGCAGCUGAGGCUGGCCCCUGGUGAAGGUGCAGCAUUAGUUGUAGUUGAUGGCCCAGGACUGAACGAGUCAUGUAAAGAAGUUGAGGCGUGGCACCGUGAACAGAGUCUGAUUGUCAGUCGUACAUAGCAAGUUGAACCUGCAGUUCUCUUUGUCAUGCUGUCCCCAGAAGUGUACUGCUUUAUUUGUGCCUUGUACUUUUUAUGUCUUUUACUGAUUUUUCUUGUUUUUGUUCUUAACUUAUAUCCUUGGACUAGUAAGUAUAGUCCUGGUUUUCUUAUCUUCCCAGUCUAUACUCUGCUGCGUCUUUCUUAUGGCUCUUGUUAAAAAUUCUAUCUCCUUCUUAAUAAUUAUUUCUGCUAAUUCAUAAUGUAAUUAUUGCCUUGAAAGUUUGUUUCACUUUUAUUGUUUGAAUUAGGAUUAAAAUUAAUUAAAAAUGAAUCAUCUUAAUGCAUUUCACCAUGUGGUGAAUAUAGCAAAUUUUAAUGUUUAGUUGAGAUCAUGGCAAGCAUUGCUGAAUCUGUUCCUGAGAUGGGCACUACCUCAGUAGUAGUUUAAGCAUGAGUUAUGCUCCGGACACCUGACUGAUAGUUGGUUGGGACACUGUUUCAAUUUAUUUUAAAUAUGAUUUGGAUAAAAUACAUACAUAGUUUUAGGCUUGCCCUUUUUUAUUCAUAAGUCUGUUUAGGAAAAGUCAGUUAUUUUUUUUUUCUGUAUGUUUGUGUGAAGUUAUUAAUGACCACUAAGCAAAAUAAUUUUCAGUGAGACGCUCAUGUUGUUAAUUUCUUAUAGCCAAUUUCUAUUCCAGUUCUGGUGUAUUGUCAUUAUAAUUAUGGUAGUAGCUAGCUAAUGUAAUCUUAAGGUUAACCUUUAAAAUCUUCAUCUGAUCACCACUUUGUACUGAAAAUUUUUACAUUAGCCUACAAAGUGACACCUUUCAUUGUGGCAUUUUCACACUUUGUUUCAGUACAUCCUUCCCACACAUGUUCAUGCCCUUAUGCCUCUAAUAGUCUCCUUCCCUCUUUGGUUGCUCAUAGUAGCCACCCUCCCAUAAGACCCACGAAAACACACUCUCUGUCUGUCUGUCUGUCUCUGUAGAGAAACAGAUACAAAUUCAAAGCUGGUAUCUGUACAUCAAAGCUGGUAUCUUCCUUUUUCUUUAGGGGAAGGAAAAACACAAGGAAUCUAGACCACAAUAACCUGCCUUUGGAUUACUUUCACUUCAAUGCUUAUGAUGUUGGACCUUUUAAAAAUGUUUUUGCUUGUUUAUUCUUGUCAGAGUCUCAUUAUGUACUAAGGAUGACCUUGAAUUCAGAUUCUUUUCCAAGUAGUACCAGAAGUUACUAGCAAGCAUAGUCAGACAAGAAAGAAGAAACGAGGGACUUUAAGAUCAGAAAGGAAGAAGCAAAACCAUCCUGAUUUCCAUAUGACAUGAUUAUGUAUAAUAAAAACUGCACACACACAUGCAUGCACACAGACAAAACCCUGUUAGAAUGGAUGAAUUAAUUCAGUACAGUGGUGGGAUUCAAAUCAGUGUGCAAAAAUCAAUUGCAUUUCUUUAGGCUAAUAGCAGUCUAUUGGAAGAAGAGAUCAGGACAAGAACCUUAUUUAUGAUGACAUCAAAAUAGUCAGGUAUGAAAGAAAGCUCUGUAGUAAUACUUGCUGUGCACAUUUGAGGAUCAGAGUUCCUAGCACCCACAUAAAAGCCACAUAAAAACACACCCACUGGAUCUGGUGUUUCUAUAACCCCAGCACUGAUAGGUGGAGACAGAAGAAUGGCUGGGUCUUGCUUGCUGCAAGCCUAGCUGAAAAUUUCCAUGUUCUAGAUUCAGCCAGAGACUCAGCUUCAAAGGAACGAGGCAAAGAGUUAUAGCAUAGGAUAUGCUUAAUAUCUUCCUUAAUAUCUUCCUUCCCUUGACUUCACACUUAUAAGCACACUCCCCUACCACACACACUCAAGAAUAAUACAUAAUGAAUUGACCUAACCAAAGAGAGAAAGAUUGUGAGGUGAAAAUCACAAAAUAUUGAUGAAAAUAAUUGGAAGUACAAAUAAAGGGACAGAUAGUAUCUGUUUGUGCUUAUGGAUUGUAUGCUGUGGUCACCUUUGCAUUUGGUUCCAAAUUACUACUUAGCUCCUGGCAGGGUCAGAUGCUUCUAAGGGGUGCUUCAUGCCAGAGCAAUAGGAUACUUGUAUUCUGCUAGAAGAAAACCAAAUGGAGUGAUUUUGAAACAAUUCAUUUUGUAGUACAGUAACAGUAAAUAACCAAAGUUACUUCAGGGCUGGAAUGUAGCUCAUCCUAGUAUGUGAGAGGUUCUGGCUUUGGUCUUUAACACC